ACGUACACUCCUGCGGGAGGCAGCAGUGGGGAAUUUUGGACAAUGGGCGAAAGCCUGAUCCAGCCAUGCCGCGUGCAGGAUGAAGGCCUUCGGGUUGUAAACUGCUUUUGUACGGAACGAAACGGCCUUUUCUAAUAAAGAGGGCUAAUGACGGUACCGUAAGAAUAAGCACCGGCUAAAUACGUGCCAGCAGCCGCGGUAAUACGUAGGGUGCAAGCGUUAAUCGGAAUUACUGGGCGUAAAGCGUGCGCAGGCGGUUAUGUAAGACAGUUGUGAAAUCCCCGGGCUCAACCUGGGAACUGCAUCUGUGACUGCAUAGCUAGAGUACGGUAGAGGGGGAUGGAAUUCCGCGUGUAGCAGUGAAAUGCGUAGAUAUGCGGAGGAACACCGAUGGCGAAGGCAAUCCCCUGGACCUGUACUGACGCUCAUGCACGAAAGCGUGGGGAGCAAACAGGAUUAGAAACCCCGGUAGUCC
rnacentral:rRNA from 1 species